rnacentral:lncRNA from 1 species
AGGGUGGGUGGGGUUGUUGGGGUUGGUAGUGUUUAUUUUAGAAUUAUUUCGUAUACAUUGCGUUUUAGACGUAAUGAUUUCGUUAUUGUUUCUCUUCUUUGUCUUUGUGCGAAGAGACGCUUAGUUAAAGUUUUAGUUUAGUAUUAGUUGGUUGUUGUUAAAAUGAGUUCUUUAAGUGAAGUUGAUUCAGGUAAUUUGAAUAAGUGGAAUGUGAAUGCGAAGAAGUUUUCAAUUAGUGAAAUUGUUUGUCCAUGGUCGCAUGAUAAUUAUCCGUGAGUAUUUACCUUUUUUUUGUUUGUGAUAAAUGUUGAUUUUUUUUAAUUCUUUUUGUUUAAGAUGGGCUUUGGAGGUGAAGGUGGAUAGUGUUGAUCCUUUUAAAACUGGGAAAACUGGGAGUUGUAUAAAUUUUGCUGUGAAGUUGAGAGAUGCUACAGAAGUGGUUCAUUGUAUUGGUUUUCAUGAUGCGGAAGUGAUAUCUAGGAGGUUCAAGGUAAAUUUUUCUUUUGAAUUGUUUUAUACUAUGAUUUGUUAAUGAUUUCAUUUUAUUUGUUUAUUUGUUAUUUUUUCAUGCUGAUGUUUUAGGUUGGUGCUACUUACAGAAUUGAAAAUGCUAAUCCGAAGGAUGUGAAUCCUAAUUUUGUCCGUGAUGAUAGAUUUGAUCAUAAAUGUGAGAUCAUGUUGCCUGCUAAUAAUUUGGUAAUUUUUAGUCACAUUUUUUGUUAGUUUCUGAUUAUUUUCCUUUCGUUAGAUUUGGUGUGUUGUAGAAAGUGGAUUUCCUCCCCAAAAAGUUAGAAAAGUUGAGGAAAAGGUUGAUGUUUUGCCGUCAACGUCGUUGAUGAAGGAAUCAGUGGAAUCAGUGAAAAGUCCAAUCUCUUUGUCAUCUGAAAAAGAGAUAGUAUACAUCUUUGUUUUUCAAAUCUAUUGUGAGUGAUCAUUGGGGAUUUUCCGUGUGUCGUUACUCGGCUGAUUGUAUGCAAAAGUUGGAGCCUGUUGGGAAGAACUAUAAAUGUACAUCUUGUGAUAUUAUUUCUGAUGACUUUGAUUGACAUCUAUCGAUUUUGGUAUUUAUGUUUUCAUUUUGUUUGUGGUAUAUUUUUUCACUUUUGAUAAUGAAUUUGUUGUUUAGUUGAAUGUUUUCGAUGGACUGAAUGAUUUUGAAGUUGAAGCUACUUCUACCAAUACAGAAAAGAUUUUAGGUGUGACGUCAUUGUUUGUUGGAAAAUGUGUUCGUAAAAACGAGCUUGAAAAGUUGAAAGGGUCAGACGGUCACACAUAAAAGAGUUGAUUCCGUGUCUGAAUGUUUCAUUUCUGGAGCUGAGGUGAUAAUUAAGAAGAUGCUUGAUAAUGAAUCUGCAGAGGCUAUGGACGAAACGAAAUGAAUUUUUUUGUUGCUGUGCCGAGGUCUUCUUUUCUGGAUAUGAAAAAAAAACAGAAUUUUUUUUUGUUUUGGUUGAGGUAUAAUGCUAAUUAGUAAUUUAGAAACUUAUUUUGAUAAUGUAUUUAAACUGAAACGAAGUUUGAAUGGAUGAAAUUAAAAUUGGUGGAAUGAAGUACGUGUUUUUUUUGUGUUUUUAUUGCGUGAAAACAUGUUUCGAUUUUUUUGACGAUAGA